rnacentral:rRNA from 1 species
GCAAGUCGAACGAUGAAAGGGAGCUUGCUCCCUGGAUUAGUGGCGAACGGGUGAGUAACACGUGAGUAACCUGCCCUUGACUCUGGGAUAAGCACUGGAAACGGUGUCUAAUACCGGAUACGAACUUCAGCCGCAUGGCUAGGAGUUGGAAAGAAUUUCGGUCAAGGAUGGACUCGCGGCCUAUCAGCUAGUUGGUGAGGUAAUGGCCCACCAAGGCGACGACGGGUAGCCGGCCUGAGAGGGUGACCGGCCACACUGGGACUGAGACACGGCCCAGACUCCUACGGGAGGCAGCAGUGGGGAAUAUUGCACAAUGGGCGCAAGCCUGAUGCAGCAACGCCGCGUGAGGGACGACGGCCUUCGGGUUGUAAACCUCUUUUAGUAGGGAAGAAGCAAAGUGUUUUACAUGGAGUGACGGUACCUGCAGAAAAAGCACCGGCUAACUACGUGCCAGCAGCCGCGGUAAUACGUAGGGUGCAAGCGUUAUCCGGAAUUAUUGGGCGUAAAGAGCUCGUAGGCGGUUUGUCGCGUCUGCUGUGAAAACUGGGGGCUCAACCCCCAGCCUGCAGUGGGUACGGGCAGACUAGAGUGCGGUAGGGGAGAUUGGAAUUCCUGGUGUAGCGGUGGAAUGCGCAGAUAUCAGGAGGAACACCAAUGGCGAAGGCAGAUCUCUGGGCCGUAACUGACGCUGAGGAGCGAAAGCAUGGGG